UGGUGUGAUCAUACCAGCACUAAUGCAUCGGAUCCCAUCAGAACUUCCUAGUUAAACAUGUUUGGAAGAUAUGUAGUAAGUUUAUACAUACCAUGUCAGACCCGUUCCCGAAAACACCCG
rfam:Cephalotus follicularis DNA, scaffold: scaffold2303, isolate: St1.